rnacentral:rRNA from 1 species
AGACCCCGUGAACCUUUACUAUAGCUUGACACUGAACAUUGAGCCUUGAUGUGUAGGAUAGGUGGGAGGCUUUGAAGUGUGGACGCCAGUCUGCAUGGAGCCGACCUUGAAAUACCACCCUUUAAUGUUUGAUGUUCUAACGUUGGCCCCUAAUCGGGGUUGCGGACAGUGUCUGGUGGGUAGUUUGACUGGGGCGGUCUCCUCCUAAAGAGUAACGGAGGAGCACGAAGGUUGGCUAAUCCUGGUCGGACAUCAGGAGGUUAGUGCAAUGGCAUAAGCCAGCUUGACUGCGAGCGUGACGGCGCGAGCAGGUGCGAAAGCAGGUCAUAGUGAUCCGGUGGUUCUGAAUGGAAGGGCCAUCGCUCAACGGAUAAAAGGUACUCCGGGGAUAACAGGCUGAUACCGCCCAAGAGUUCAUAUCGACGGCGGUGUUUGGCACCUCGAUGUCGGCUCAUCACAUCCUGGGGCUGAAGUAGGUCCCAAGGGUAUGGCUGUUCGCCAUUUAAAGUGGUACGCGAGCUGGGUUUAGAACGUCGUGAGACAGUUCGGUCCCUAUCUGCCGUGGGCGCUGGAGAACUGAGGGGGGCUGCUCCUAGUACGAGAGGACCGGAGUGGACGCAUCACUGGUGUUCGGGUUGUCAUGCCAAUGGCACUGCCCGGUAGCUAAAUGCGGAAGAGAUAAGUGCUGAAAGCAUCUAAGCACGAAACUUGCCCCGAGAUGAGUUCUCCCUGACUCCCUGAGAGUCCUGAAGGA